CGGGUGAGUAACGCGUGGGUAACCUGCCCUGUACACACGGAUAACAUACCGAAAGGUAUGCUAAUACGGGAUAACAUAUUUUGAUGGCAUCAUCGAAAUAUCAAAGCUUUGGCGGUACAGGAUGACCCGCGUCUGAUUAGCUAGUUGGUGAGGUAAUGGCUCACCAAGGCGACGAUCAGUAGCCGACCUGAGAGGGUGAUCGGCCACAUUGGAACUGAGACACGGUCCAA
rnacentral:rRNA from 1 species